GCUCAAAUUUAAAAUCUGGCGGUCUCUGGCUGUCCGAGUUGUAAUCUAGAGAAGUGUUGCCCGCGCUGGACCGUGUACAAGUCUCCUGGAAUGGAGCGUCAUAGAGGGUGAGAAUCCCGUCUUUGACACGGACUACCAGGGCUUUGUGGUACGCUCUCAAAGAGUCGAGUUGUUUGGGAAUGCAGCUCAAAAUGGGUGGUAAAUUCCAUCUAAAGCUAAAUAUUGGCGAGAGACCGAUAGCGAACAAGUACCGUGAGGGAAAGAUGAAAAGAACUUUGGAAAGAGAGUUAAACAGUACGUGAAAUUGCUGAAAGGGAAACGCUUGAAGUCAGUCGCGUUGGCCGGGGAUCAGCCUCGCUCUUUUGCGUGGUGUACUUUCCGGUCGACGGGUCAGCAUCAAUUUUGAUCGCUGGAAAAAGGCCUGAGGAAUGUGGCAGCUCCGGCUGUGUUAUAGCUUCUGGUCACAUACAGCGGUUGGGAUUGAGGAACUCAGCACGCCGCAAGGCCGGGUUUCGACCACGUUCGUGCUUAGGAUGCUGGCAUAAUGGCUUUAAGCGACCCGUCUUGAAACACGGACCAAGGAGUCUAACAUGCCUGCGAGUGUUUGGGUGGAAAACCCGAGCGCGUAAUGAAAGUGAAAGUUGAGAUCCCUGUCGCGGGGAGCAUCGACGCCCGGACCAGAACUUUUGGGACGGAUCCGCGGUAGAGCAUGUAUGUUGGGACCCGAAAGAUGGUGAACUAUGCCUGAAUAGGGUGAAGCCAGAGGAAACUCUGGUGGAGGCUCGUAGCGAUUCUGACGUGCAAAUCGAUCGUCAAAUUUGGGUAUAGGGGCGAAAGACUAAUCGA
rnacentral:rRNA from 1 species